GAUGAACGCUAGCUAUAGGCUUAACACAUGCAAGUCGAGGGAGCGGCGGACGGGUGAGUAAUGUCUGGGAAACUGCCUGAUGGAGGGGGAUAACUACUGGAAACGGUAGCUAAUACCGCAUACCAUCAGAUGUGCCCAGAUGGGAUUAGUUAGUAGGUGGGGUAACGGCGCACCUAGGCGACGAUCCCUAGCUGGUCUGAGAGGAGGACCAGCCACACUGGAACUGAGACACGGUCCAGACUCCGACGGGGGGCAGCAGUGGGUAAUAUGGCACAAGGGGCGCAAGCCUGAUGCAGACAUGCCGCGUGUGUGAAGAAGGCCUUCGGGUUGUAAAGCACUUUCAGCGGGGAGGCGUUACCCGCAGAAGAAGCACCGGCUAACUCCGUGCCAGCAGCCGCGGUAAUAC
rnacentral:rRNA from 1 species